rnacentral:rRNA from 1 species
CGCGUAGGCGGUUAGGUAAGUCAGAUGUGAAAUCCCCGGGCUCAACCUGGGAAUUGCAUCUGAUACUGCUUAACUAGAGUUUGGUAGAGGCAAGUGGAAUUCCAGGUGUAGCGGUGAAAUGCGUAGAUAUCUGGAGGAACACCAGUGGCGGAGGCGACUUGCUGGACUAAAACUGACGCUGAGGUGCGAAAGCGUGGGGAGCAAACA